rnacentral:tRNA from 1 species
GGGCCUGUAGCUUAAUCGGCAGAGCACCGCAUUCGCAUUGCGGAGAAGGGAGUUCGAUUCUCCCCAGGUCCA